rnacentral:lncRNA from 1 species
CCCCGCGCCAGCCCGCCUGGGCCUCUGCGCCGCCGGCGGCUUCUUAAAUACAGGAAAGGGAGGGGACCGCAGGGCCCCGGUGUUCCCCACCCUAGUCCCCCUUCACCACGGGCCACCGGGCGCCAGCGGAGUGGGCAGCGAGCGCGACCGAAAGUUCCAACUCCACCAAACUCCCGCGCGCGGCCCACCCUUUCCCGGGAUUUCGGGGAUGACACGGGGGCCAGUGGUCCUGUCUGGUGUGAACCGUCAGCACAGAUGGCCUCCUGGAGCUUCCCCGAGUCGUUCGCUGGGGGAAGCGGGCGGUGAGCGGCCAGCCCGGGCGCUCCGCAGGCCGCGAGCUCCCGGCAGGGCUGGUGGCGGGGGUCCGCCUGGGGGAGGAAUCCCCGCCUGCUCCAUCGGACCCGGCCUGGCGCGGCUCGCGGCGCUCGGCGGGCUCCCUUCCAUUCUAGAAUCUUCCCGCUUGCUUCCCAGCCCGCGUUCUUCCGCCUGCCUUUAAUUGUGUAAGUUUGACGAAGUCAGAGCUUUGGGUUCCAGGAAAAGCGCAGGAGGGUCAUAGAGGAAGGGAGGGCGCAGGUUGGAGUCAGGUCCAAACAGUCCCUAUCGCCACUUUUGAAAAAAAAAAAAAACAACAAAAACCCUUAAGGUUGGUUUUAUUUUGCCUUUUGGUAGCGGGCGUAUUCAUUUAGAUUUUUUUUUCAAGACAGGCAAAUAAAAGGUGUUUGAAAUCUCUAGUUAUCCCGUUUAACACACCCAUCGAUGGCGCUUUUCUAGUUAAGCUACGGGGGAAACGUCUUUAUCCCGCAGUUAGGCUGCGAACUUGUGCAGAUGCUCAGGCUUUGUGGAGACGCUCCGGCAUCUGGCGCAGAGGCGCCCGGCGGGGAAAAGUUUGCAGCCCGGGCUUUGGGGCGCGCGGGGGGCAGGAAUUUUUCUGAGAAGAGAGGGGCAUAGAGAGGCGGCGCGGGUGGGGAGAGAAAAAAGGAACGCAGGGGGGAGGGGGAAAAGCAGCUUGCAGGAUGGGAGUUUCUUGCAGAAUUUACAGGAUUAAGGAGUUUGGGGAAGUCGCAGAGCUGCAGCGGAAAGGCAGGGGUCUGAGACUACUUUUGAGAAGAGAAACAACGCAAAACGAUCGCUGGAGGGCCAGAGCCCUGGUCGAAGGUGCCCUAGCUUUUAUGACCUGGUUAAUUGUGUCUCCUUUUUAUUUUUAUUUUUUUCCUUACCACUACUACUACUACUACUUUUAUUUUUUUUUAACCGAUACACUUUGGAGAGAAGAAGCAGACACAGGUUCCCACGGCGUCUGACGCCUGCGGAGCAAGUCCAGAGCCAGCUGGACUCGCAGCCUCUGGCCCGGCGGCACCAACUCCUCACUGGGUCAUUUUGAGCGCGCUGUGCCCACCUUUUCUGUUGCGUGUGGACGUGGGGAGGAUCUUCUAAGUCCCUCCAACGAAGGCAAGUGUGAGACUCUGGCCCUUUAUUUGUAAGAAGCAAGCCUUCAGAUUGCAGAAGUGUCGCGCGGGUCGCCGUGCGUUGCGCGAGUGGGAAGAUGGAGGAGGCCGGCACGCUGCUUUCGUGGACGCAAGUGAACCGGGCGUGAAGGCAGGGUGCGAGCUCUGCCCUUGGCCCAGCCCUGCGUGGGCGCCGUCCCAGAUUCCGGGCGGUGCGGGGUGCAGAGAUCUGGAGAGACUUGCGGGCUCCCCAGCGCAGGCUGCUCUGGGAUUUCGUUGGAAGAUCCGGCAGAGCCUUGGAGGAGAGGGCCCGGGAGGCUGUGUGUGCAGCGGAAACUUGUACGAAUGCCCCCACAGCGGAAAUGGUGCGCACGAGUAAUUUCUGCGGUGCACCCUUUUAAAAAUUGACAAGUGAACAAGAUCAAUUUUUUAAGAAAGCAAAGGUAGAAAACAAAAGGCGUGCGACUUCUUGACUGGCUUGUUCCCGCCUUUCUUCCUUCUCUAUACUCAGAUCAGAAACUUUUCUUUAAUUGCUCUUAUUCAGUGCGACAACUUUUAAUAAAAGCAUUUGCAUUUUAA